GGAGCAAACAGGAUUAGAUACCCUGGUAGUCCACGCCCUAAACGAUGUCAACUAGUUGUUGGGGAUUUACUUCCUUGGUAACGUAGCUAACGCGUGAAGUUGACCGCCUGGGGAGUACGGCCGCAAGGCUAAAACUCAAAGGAAUUGACGGGGACCCGCACAAGCGGUGGAUGAUGUGGAUUAAUUCGAUGCAACGCGAAAAACCUUACCUACCCUUGACAUGGCAGGAACUUUCCAGAGAUGGAUUGGUGCUCGAAAGAGAACCUGCACACAGGUGCUGCAUGGCUGUCGUCAGCUCGUGUCGUGAGAUGUUGGGUUAAG
rnacentral:rRNA from 1 species